UACGGAGGGUGCGAGCGUUGUUCGGAAUUACUGGGCGUAAAGCGCGUGCAGGCGGUCGAUUAAGUCCGGUGUGAAAGCCCGGGGCUCACCCCCGGAAGUGCGCUGGAAACUAAUCAACUAGAGUACGGGAGAGGGAAGUGGAAUUCCUGGUGUAGCGGUGAAAUGCGUAGAUAUCAGGAGGAACACCGGCGGCGAAGGCGGCUUCCUGGACCGAUACUGACGCUGAGACGCGAAAGCGUGGGGAGCAAACAGG
rnacentral:rRNA from 3 species